AUUGAACGCUGGCGGCAUGCCUUACACAUGCAAGUCGAACGGUAACGCGGGGCAACCUGGCGACGAGUGGCGAACGGGUGAGUAACGCAUCGGAACGUGCCCAGUAGUGGGGGAUAGCCCGGCGAAAGCCGGAUUAAUACCGCAUACGACCUACGGGCGAAAGGGGGGGAUCGCAAGACCUCUCGCUAUUGGAGCGGCCGAUGUCAGAUUAGGUAGUUGGUGGGGUAAAGGCCCACCAAGCCUUCGAUCUGUAGCUGGUCUGAGAGGACGACCAGCCACACUGGGACUGAGACACGGCCCAGACUCCUACGGGAGGCAGCAGUGGGGAGUUUUGGACAAUGGGCGCAGGCCUGAUCCAGCCAUGCCGCGUGCGGGAAGAAGGCCUUCGGGUUGUAAACCGCUUUUGUCAGGGAAGAAACGCUCUGGGCUAAUACCCCGGGGUAAUGACGGUACCUGAAGAAUAAGCACCGGCUAUCUACGUGCCAGCCGCCGCCGUAA
rnacentral:rRNA from 1 species